AUACAUACGCCACCUAUGAAGCAUGUUCAGCGAUCGGUCUUUCUGGCCAUUUUGUUGAGGCAUUCAGCAAUAUGAGAGCAAAGUGGAGGAAGAAGCGCAUGCGAAGGUUGAAGCGUAAGAGGAGAAAGAUGCGUGCAAGGUCCAAGUAGACUGCUUCCUUGCAGAGCAG